rnacentral:tRNA from 2 species
GCCCAGAUGGCGGAACUGGUAGACGCGUCAGACUCAAAAUCUGGUUAUCGCAAGGUAGUGGGGGUUCGAUUCCCCCUCUGGGCA